rnacentral:lncRNA from 12 species
AUGAACACACCAAUUGAUAUGUCUCUAUUCCACCAGGUUGUCUUUAUUUUUCAAGAUGUCUUCUUCUUCUUUUUUUUUAAAUUUUUAUUUAUUUAUGAUAGUCACAGAGAGAGAGAGAGGCAGAGACAUAGGCAGAGGGAGAAGCAGGCUCCAUGCAGGGAGCCCGACGUGGGACUCGAUCCCAGGUCUCCAGGAUCACACCCAGAACUGCAGACGGCGCUAAACUGCUGCGCCACUGGGCCGCCCUCAAGAUGUCUUCUUUCCCAGCCUUUUCUUCAUGGUUUCCUAAAAGUGACACCUGCAUCCUCUGGGGCAGGACCCCAGCCCUCAGUGACCAGGGAGCGGAUCUUGGGCUCCAGUGACAUCAGCCUUGGAAGAGGAGGAUGCUACGCCCACCCCUGUGCCUGGCUUUCUGGGUGCCCCUGCACUGAGCUGGCAGGAAUCUGAGGUGCCCAACAGGUGUGCAUUUCCAGUACUUUCUUCUCACGAGAUGGAUGGAUGAGCAAACUGAGUCCCUGCUAAUGGGUCAGGAUGGCUGCGGGGUCUCCCGGGCAGCACCGGAUGAAGGAUGAAGCAUUGAAAUAGGAGCCGGGUCUGGUGUUCUGGCACCAGCUCUGCCCUCACGUCACAGGGCAGGUGGGACCCUCUGGAAGGCCCCUGCAGCCCCCACGAUGGUGAGGUCUGUGAAUCACGUGAGAGUAAGUUUUGGAAGAGACUCUUGUUUGAAAGCUGGGACUUUGAUGGUUGCCGCUGUCUGUUUCCGUGGAAACAGGGCUCCGAAUCGGAGAAUGAGCCUGUAGCUCUGCUCUGGGUGCCCCAGAUAGCUGGGGAAGAGGACUGCUCCCAUACCUCCUCCCCGGCGGCCUCAGAGGGUGGCUAGAAAGGUCUGGAACACAGGGCCUCCAGCGAUGUAGCCGACAUUUAUUGAGCACUCACUAGUGCCAGCCCAGGACAGCAUCCAGCGCUUGGAAGGGAGAGAGGCCACGACCCCCUGAGGAAGUCUUGCUAUCUCCACAACACUCGUCCUCAGGAGAGAUUUACUCUGUCUGAAGUGGACCCUUCGUUACUCAGCACACAUAGGAGCCACGUACCGGGCCACACAGAGGUAAACAGGACACAGUCCUUGCCUUCCCUCGGGGUCCAGGGGUACCAAAGGUGGGCGCCAUGAAGUCAAUGUGGAAGGGUGUGGUGAACAUCCUGGUUCCCCUCUCCUGUCACCAUGCCAUCCUCCCCACCCUCAAUACCCAGGCCUUAUGCUGUUCCCUUGCCUGGGAUCCCCUCACUACUGCUGCUCUGCCUAGCAAAUUCGUGCUCAAGCUUCAAAGCCCCAGCUCCAAGCUUACUUCCUCUGCAAAGCCGCAGCCCUCUCCCCUAGGCCAUGAGCAUCUUUGUUUUGUUUUUGUUUUUGUUUUUGUUUUUUUGAGAGAGAGAGAGAGAAAAUAUGAUC